rnacentral:rRNA from 1 species
UACGGAGGGUGCAAGCGUUAAUCGGAAUUACUGGGCGUAAAGCGUGCGUAGGCGGUUCGUUAAGUCUGUUGUGAAAGCCCCGGGCUCAACCUGGGAAUGGCAAUGGAUACUGGCGAGCUAGAGUCGUGUCAGAGGAUGGUGGAAUUCCCGGUGUAGCGGUGAAAUGCGUACGAGAAUCGGGAGGAACAUCAGUGGCGAAGGGCGGCCCAUCUGGGACAACAC